rnacentral:rRNA from 1 species
GGAUGAACGCUAGCUACAGGCUUAACACAUGCAAGUCGAGGGGCAGCAUUUCAGUUUGCUUGCAAACUGGAGAUGGCGACCGGCGCACGGGUGAGUAACACGUAUCCAACCUGCCGAUAACUCGGGGAUAGCCUUUCGAAAGAAAGAUUAAUACCCGAUGGUAUAAUCAGACCGCAUGGUCUUGUUAUUAAAGAAUUUCGGUUAUCGAUGGGGAUGCGUUCCAUUAGGCAGUUGGUGAGGUAACGGCUCACCAAACCUUCGAUGGAUAGGGGUUCUGAGAGGAAGGUCCCCCACAUUGGAACUGAGACACGGUCCAAACUCCUACGGGAGGCAGCAGUGAGGAAUAUUGGUCAAUGGGCGCAGGCCUGAACCAGCCAAGUAGCGUGAAGGAUGACUGCCCUAUGGGUUGUAAACUUCUUUUAUAUGGGAAUAAAGUUUUCCACGUGUGGAAUUUUGUAUGUACCAUAUGAAUAAGGAUCGGCUAACUCCGUGCCAGCAGCCGCGGUAAUACGGAGGAUCCGAGCGUUAUCCGGAUUUAUUGGGUUUAAAGGGAGCGUAGGUGGACAGUUAAGUCAGUUGUGAAAGUUUGCGGCUCAACCGUAAAAUUGCAGUUGAUACUGGCUGUCUUGAGUACAGUAGAGGUGGGCGGAAUUCGUGGUGUAGCGGUGAAAUGCUUAGAUAUCACGAAGAACUCCGAUUGCGAAGGCAGCUCACUGGACUGCAACUGACACUGAUGCUCGAAAGUGUGGGUAUCAAACAGGAUUAGAUACCCUGGUAGUCCACACAGUAAACGAUGAAUACUCGCUGUUUGCGAUAUACAGUAAGCGGCCAAGCGAAAGCAUUAAGUAUUCCACCUGGGGAGUACGCCGGCAACGGUGAAACUCAAAGGAAUUGACGGGGGCCCGCACAAGCGGAGGAACAUGUGGUUUAAUUCGAUGAUACGCGAGGAACCUUACCCGGGCUUAAAUUGCAUUUGAAUAUAUUGGAAACAGUAUAGCCGUAAGGCAAAUGUGAAGGUGCUGCAUGGUUGUCGUCAGCUCGUGCCGUGAGGUGUCGGCUUAAGUGCCAUAACGAGCGCAACCCUUAUCUUUAGUUACUAACAGGUCAUGCUGAGGACUCUAGAGAGACUGCCGUCGUAAGAUGUGAGGAAGGUGGGGAUGACGUCAAAUCAGCACGGCCCUUACGUCCGGGGCUACACACGUGUUACAAUGGGGGGUACAGAAGGCAGCUACCUGGUGACAGGAUGCUAAUCCCAAAAGCCUCUCUCAGUUCGGAUCGAAGUCUGCAACCCGACUUCGUGAAGCUGGAUUCGCUAGUAAUCGCGCAUCAGCCAUGGCGCGGUGAAUACGUUCCCGGGCCUUGUACACACCGCCCGUCAAGCCAUGAAAGCCGGGGGUACCUGAAGUACGUAACCGCAAGGAGCGUCCUAGGGUAAAACUGGUAAUUGGGGC